GAUGAACGCUGGCGGCGUGCCUAAUACAUGCAAGUCGAGCGAACGGACGAGAAGCUUGCUUCUCUGAUGUUAGCGGCGGACGGGUGAGUAACACGUGGAUAACCUACCUAUAAGACUGGGAUAACUUCGGGAAACCGGAGCUAAUACCGGAUAAUAUUUUGAACCGCAUGGUUCAAAAGUGAAAGACGGUCUUGCUGUCACUUAUAGAUGGAUCCGCGCUGCAUUAGCUAGUUGGUAAGGUAACGGCUUACCAAGGCAACGAUGCAUAGCCGACCUGAGAGGGUGAUCGGCCACACUGGAACUGGGACACGGUCCAGACUCCUACGGGAGGCAGCAGGAGGGAAUCUUCCGCAAUGGGCGGAAGCCUGACGGAGCAACGCCGCGUGAGUGAUGAAGGUCUUCGGAUCGUAAAACUCUGUUAUUAGGGAAGAACAUAUGUGUAAGUAACUGUGCACAUCUUGACGGUACCUAAUCAGAAAGCCACGGCUAACUACGUG
rnacentral:rRNA from 1 species